GACGAACGCUGGCGGCGUGCCUAAUACAUGCAAGUAGAACGCAGUUGCGAAAGUGAGAGUAACGCAUCGGGCACUGCCUGGGGGAGGGGGAUAACUAUUGGAAACGAUAACUAAUACCGCAUCCUCCCAGGUGGACCUGCGUUGUAUUAGCUAGUUGGUGGGGUAACGGCACACCAAGGCAACGCUACGUAGCCGACCGGGGAGGGUGAUCGGCCACAGUGGGACUGAGACACGGCCCAGACUCCUACGGGAGGCAGCAGUAGGGAAUCUUCGGCAAUGGGGGGAAGCCUGACCGAGCAACGCCGCGUGAGUGAUGACGGCUUUCGGGUUGUAAAGCUCUGUUGUUAAGGACGCGGUACUUAACUAGAAAGGGACGGCUAACUACGUGCCAGCAGCCGCGGUAAUUC
rnacentral:rRNA from 1 species